CCCUUAGAUGUUCUGGGCCGCACGCGCGCUACACUGAUGCAUUCAACGAGUUUCUUCCUGGUCCGAGAGGAAUGGGUAACCUUUUGAAAGUGCAUCGUGAUAGGGAUAGACUAUUGCAAUUAUUGGUCUUCAACGAGGAAUUCCUAGUAGACGUAGUUCAUCAGACUGCAUCGAUUACGUCCCUGCCCUUUGUACACACCGCCCGUCGCUAGUACCGAUUGAAUGGCUUAGUGAGGCUUCAGGAUUUGCUUAGAUCGAGGGGCAACUCUCUUUCAGAGCGGAGAAUCUAGUCAAACUUGGUCAUUUAGAGGAACUAAAAGUCGUAACA
rnacentral:rRNA from 1 species